UUACAGCCAUAUCACAGUGAAAUCCCAGUUCCCAUAUGAUCCCCAAAAUUAAGCAACAUCAAGCCUGGUAAAUAUUUAGAUGGGUGACUGCUUGGGAAUACCAGGUGCUGUAAG